rnacentral:lncRNA from 1 species
UCCCUCUGACCUCCUCCUAGUCACUAUCUCCCUGCUUGGAUUGAUUCCUUGGAGUGGAAUUAGUAAAAAGGAUAUGAAUAUUUUUAGUCUCUUGAUAUGUUAGACUGAUUUCCAGAAGGCUUGUACCAAUUUACUCUUCUACCGACAACUGUAAGAAUACCCUUCCUCCAUCAACAGCAUUGUGUAUUAGCUUUUAAGAAAAAUCUUUUCUAAUUUAAUAGGUUAAAAAAAUUCAUCUCAUUAUUUUAAUUUGAUAUGUAUUUUUAAAUGAGGUUGAAUAUAAUUUCCCAAGCUUA